GAUGAAGAACGUAGCGAAAUGCGAUACGUAGUGUGAAUUGCAGAAUUCCGUGAAUCAUCAAAUCUUUGAACGCACAUUGCGCCCGUCAGUAUUCUGGCGGGCAUGCCUGUUCGAGCGUCAUUACGCCCCUCAAGUCCCCUGUGGACUUGGUGUUGGGGAUCGGCGAGGCUGGUUUUCCAGCACAGCCGUCCCUUAAAUUAAUUGGCGGUCUCGCCGUGGCCCUCCUCUGCGCAGUAGUAAAACACUCGCAACAGGAGCCCGGCGCGGUCCACUGCCGUAAAACCCCCCAACUUUUUAUAGUUGACCUCGAAUCAGGUAGGACUACCCGCUGAACUUAAGCAUAUCAAUAAGCGGAGGA
rnacentral:misc_RNA from 1 species